UUGAAAUGUAAAUUGAGUAAGAUUAGCCUGUACUAUAGUAGUAUGAAGAACAGGACUAAUGGUUAAUUAGUUACUGUUGACACUGAAUUGUGUGGUGCUAAGUGGCCAACAUUUAUUAUAAUAGCAGCAAUUACAAAGUUGUGAUGGGUGAUCCUCAAGUAUAUCCAAAAACAUCAGGAGCCCUCCUUACAGGUAGUAUCUUGGCAUUUGUUGCAGGAGUUCUACUUCUUAUUUCAUUUUCAAGCCCCUAUUGGCUGGUAUCUUAUCCAGAGACGUACUCAGAGUUUGUGCGUUUAGGACUUUGGGAUGUCUGCUUUAGAAAUUAUCGUCAUCCUCCUUAUCAAUAUGAUGAAAAGUUUGAUGGCUGCCAUUGGAUCUUCAGUUAUAAGUACCAGAACAUUAGAGACUGGUUACAGCCAGGGUGGCUGAUUUUCGUAGAGGCCAUGAUGUCUAUAGCUCUGUGGUUCUCCUUGAUGGCACUCUUGGUGAUAAGUAUUGUUCUGAUGAGGUUUGUCAUGAAAUUGGAGGUAUUUCUACUGGCAGUCUGUACAGUAUUGCUGGGAAUUACAGCUUUACCAGUGUUUCUGUCAGUUGCUGUCUUUGGAGGAAAGUGUUUUGACAGAUCCUGGCUUCUAUACCCCAUCUUCAAUCAUCUUUCCUGGGCCUAUGGUUUAGCAGUAAUCUCUUUCUUUCUUCAUGUUUUUGCUGCAGCAUGCCUGUUUUCUGAAAUAUCUAAGGCCAAGGAGAGAAGACGGCGAGCUAAUAAUCUUAUCUACAACAUGCAGCCAAGGAAAAAGGGUAAUGUCAAUCCUUGUGUCAGUCCAGUACCUUCUUCAGCAGAACAGGGCACUAAAUACUAACUCUUCAGCUGACAAUGGACAGUAUGUUCUCUUCAGUUUGUAGGCACUGUGCACCAGAAUACAUAACUUAACCAAGUUGAAUGUGGUGACCAAGAACAUGAUAUUUAAAGUGCAACAGAAGCUGGAACUUUUUGUGGAGAGAUUUUAUAUAUAUAUAUAUAAAUGUAAACAAGUUUAGGGAUCAGUUUAUAAUAAAAAUAUUUUGUGAAAUAA